GCCCACCCAUUGGGCAUUAAUGCUUCUGAAAACCCAAUUUCCAAGGUAGGAGCUGUAUCACUUGGUGUGGCAGCAGCUCCUCCAGCCCUUUGCUUCUGAUGGACUUUUUGUCCAGGCAAAAAAAAAACUGAAAAAGAUCCCUGGAAUCUGACUUCCUCCAAAACCAACGGAAAUACCUAAACCAGGUAACCAACAUGACAAGCUGUAGUCUCAAAUCUCAUUUUCUUACUGUUACCCUCCAUAUACUGCACUGCUGGUGUGCCACCCAACACCUUGUGCAGCACAAGGAUGGAAAUAACCCCACCUAAAUCAGAAUCCUCCAGUUCCACUUUGGGAAGGUACUCGACUAAUAAUAUCCACCCCAGAAAAGCUGUAUUUGAUACACAGCUUAAGGAUAAAACAACACAUUCCUGCUAAAGAAACAGACAGGGGGGACAGUUGGAUUGGGCAGGAGCCCAACACCACCUCCAAACCUGACAGUGUUGUUAACUUUCAGAGCAGCCUGCUGGAAACUAUUCCCUUAUUCAUUCCAAACUUAUUUCAUUCUGCAAGGAUCCAUCUGCAGAAGGAACUCCCAGAGGGAGUCCUUUCAGCCUGCCAAGAAGAAAAGGGGCAGGAAUUCCAGCACCUUGUACAACAUUAUUCCGCGAAAUCCCUACAUCCAGAGCCCCACCAUUUAGUGAUAUUUCAGAGGGAGCUGGGGAUGAAGGAAAGCAACAGGCUAUUAUAUGUCAUUUCUAUUUACGUCCUAUGAGAAAUUUGCAGUUUUCAUCCUAUCUACAUUCUGAGCUUUGUCCUGGACUGAAGAAAUCAGCUCCAGAGAGGGAAAAUAGGAGAGCUUCGAGGUAGCAUGCCUGCAGUGUAAGGUAUUUCCAAGGAUAUUUUACUUUGGGAACUCAUUUCUCCAGUCCAAUGCCAUCAGAAGAACAGGACAGACCCCAGACAACCCUGACUCUCAGGUCUCCAAGUGAAGUUCUGGCUCAGGGAAAAUAAUUCAGAGGCCAGUUGCUCCAAUGGACCCACGACACAGGACUAUUUCCAGGAGUGUACUGCAAGACACACAUGAAAUGGUGUCUGUAUGUGUUCUUGAAAGUCCUGCUCUCUGUCUUGGUGAUGGUAUAGCAUCGGCAAGGGAUGCAUCGUACAGUACUCUUCAUCACCACUUCUGCCAUAAAGUGAGGGCAAAUUGCUCCUGAGGAGGCUGGAAAUCUGGGAUGCUACAGCAAGCUGUUGCUAAAUCCUGGAAAGCUUGAUGGAUCUUCUUACAGCAAGUGGAAACAGCUCAAAGUUCAGAUCAACCUCAUUUUUCAGCCACAUGCUCCCUCAUCACAAAUGCAAGCAGACAUUCAUAUACUACGCAAUAAUCCUUAUGGAAUAAACAUAGAUGAAACAUUGAAACAGGUUAUUUAAGAAUAGCAAGUGCCAGGAUGAGGACACUCAAUACUGGGGAGGUUUUAAAUGAGAUGCUGAUGUGACACCAGAGCCAGCACUGGUCAUGCCAACCCCACCACACCCACUGCUGCCUCCAACAGGGAUGGUUCAGUGUUCAGCUCCUGCUCCUCUGGGCUCUGCACAGUCUGAAAAAGCUGGACUCAAGAGCAGACUCAGUGGUAUUCUGGGGGUGAAAUAAAGGGAUAAUGUUUUUGUUGGAUUAUAUAGAAACAGGGCAACUUUAUCUUUUUUUUUUUUAAUUCCCCCUCUGCAGAGCACUCACACCACAGAAAUGCAACUGGAGGUAUACUGUCCAUACAAUGGCAAAGGAGCAGCUUAACAAACUUUAUUUCCCAUUAAGAUUAGCUCAAGAAGGGCUGUAAAACCGCAACUGUUCUGCAGGAACACGCUGCUAGAAGAUCAGCUCAAACCUGUCCAAAUCCUGCAUGAGAGAGGUUUAUUUUCCCAUCUUCACAGCCAUAAACAAGCAUCCCUUUCACAGCCUAACCAUCUUCUCAGCUCUGUAAGCUACACCAACAGUGACACGAAG